AACGAACGCUGGCGGCAGGCUUAACACAUGCAAGUCGAACGCACCUUUCGGGGUGAGUGGCCGACGGGUGAGUAACGCGUGGGAAUCUACCCUUCUCUACGGGAUAGCUCCGGGAAACUGGAAUUAAUACCGUAUACGUCCUGAGGGCGAAAGAUUUAUCGGGGCAGGUUGAGCCCGCGUUGGAUUAGCUAGUUGGUGGGGUAAAGGCCUACCAAGGCGACGAUCCAUAGCUGGUCUAAGAGGAUGGUCAGCCACAUUGGGACUGAGACACGGCCCAAACUCCUACGGGAGGCAGGAGUGGGUAAUAUUGGACAAUGGGCGGAAGCCUGAACCAGCCAGGCCGGGUGAGUGAUGAAGGCCCUAGAGUUGUAAAGCGCUUUCAGUGGGGACGAUAAUGACGGUACCCACAGAAGAAGCCCCGGCUAACUUCGUG
rnacentral:rRNA from 1 species